AAGGAUCAUUCAUAAUAAGUGUUUUAUGGCACUUUUUAAAUCCAUAUCCACCUUGUGUGCAAUGUCAGGGUUGAUUUCUCUCUUGGGAGAGAUCAGCCCCAAACAUCAACUAUUAUCUCAACUCUUUGUCUGAAAAAUAUUAUGAAUAAAAACAAUUCAAAAUACAACUUUCAACAACGGAUCUCUUGGCUCUC
rnacentral:misc_RNA from 1 species